UACGUAGGUGGCAAGCGUUGUCCGGAUUUCCUGGGCGUAAAGGGCGUGCAGGCGGUCUGUUAAGUGCAGGGUGAAAGCUCCCGGCUCAACUGGGAGAGGUCCUUGCAUACUGGCGGACUUGAGGGGGGUAGAGGAAAGUGGAAUUCCCGGUGUAGUGGUGAUAUGCGUAGAUAUCGGGAGGAACACCUGUGGCGAAGGCGGCUUUCUGGGCCCUACCUGACGCUGAGACGCGAAAGCGUGGGGAGCGAACCGG
rnacentral:rRNA from 1 species